ensembl:lncRNA
GCUCCAGUGAGGUAGAAUUCUUUAAAUGCUGAGAAAAGGUUCUUCAAUGCUUACGUGCUGAUCUCUUGUACCGGAUACACUGGGCCAUGAAUGAAUGGCCCAACAGGACAUUUGUGAUGGCACAACGCCUAAUCUUAAAUAUUGAUGAACAGUGACAAAUAUUUCACUCGUUUUGAUUUAUCUAUUUUGAACAUUUAACAUGCGUUAAAACAAAACAAAUAACUGCAUUGAUUAAAAGAAUGUCGUACAAAUUGUCAUUAACAUUAAAAAAUAUUGCAUGGUCAAAAAACUCAUUCAUCAUUUAAAUAACUCAAACAAUAAACUCAUUAUUUGUCAUAUAAAUCUUUAAACUGGUAGUCUUUAUUCCUUCUUUAAUUUAAAUUGCGAUCUUGGUAAUGGUUAGUUUUCCCCUGUGGUUUGCACCUCAUUACUCCUGAUGCUUUUACUCAACCAGGAAGGCACAUCAGGGCUGCUCAUGCAUCCACAGUGGUAAGAAAUAACCAUUCAAAUGUUUAUAAGCCUAUGUUGAGUUUGUAAUGGGCCUGUAUGGUCUUUUGUUUUUGUGAUAACGGGCAAUGGGAUAUUUUAUAUUAUUAUUAUCAUAAGAAAUCCCUGUUUUGUGUUGCCUAUAUAGUGUUUCAGAGACUCUAUACCUGUGCAAGGUGGUUACGCCCAAACUGACCCAUGAGUGGUUCCGCCAUGCGUGCUUCUUAAUGGUGUAUUUGUCUGAAGAUCGUCAUGGACCCAAAGGGAAUUUCUGAAAUGCAUAUUAACCUCCACCGCUUCCCUCCAGCAAAACUGCAGCACUGAACACCAGACAAAUAUAAAUAUAAUCUCUAGGAGACACCGUCCCUCGUUUGCUCGGCCUCAUUGACACCACAGCUGCUGGAGAUAAGCUGACUGUUAAUGUCACCGUGGUGACACACGCCAAGUGUGAUCCCGGAGCCACUUAUACACCCUAAUAGCAUUAUCAUGUAUUGUCGUAACAAUGAUGUGAUUCACACACGGCCGUGUUCCUUCACACCGUGUGGAAGAACAGCUCAUUAAUAUUUGUUCAAAUUCUUUACCGUUAAAUUAGGAUUUAGCAUCACAGCUGUAAUUUGGUGACUCAUUUGAAUUCCCAGUGGAACCCGUUCACAGCGAGGCCUUGAGAGGUGUGGAGCACAAACAGAUGAUUAUCCGCUGGGGGGGCGUGCGCAACCAGACAAUCAAAUGUAAUUUGUAAUAGAAAAAUAGAUUCAAGCGGAAGUCUGAGUAUGACAGUAUUUAUUUUGACUAAAUAAAAUCUAAAAGCAACCAUUUGCUAUCAUAUCGGGAAGGAAGAGGUUUAAAAACACGCCUCUUUUUCAAGUUGAUUGGCUGCUUCGGCCAUCGGGCCAUUUUAUUUGAAUUUGAAAAAUGUCAAAAUGUCAAAUCCACAACUUAGCUACAAAGUGCACAUAAAUGUACUUCUUACAUUUGUGAUAAACACCUGACCAGUUCUUUAAACGCUGAGUGAAUAUUGUUUAACAUUUUUAACCUUAUCUUCUGUUUUUCUGUUAUUAUGUAUCAUCUGCCAUUUGGGACUAUAGCACUUUAACUAACUGGCACAUUUACAGCAUGUUUUAUAGAUGUGCACUGUCCCCUAUCAAAUACACUAAUUAAAUUAAACUUGCGUGACUGGGAAUAAAACCAACUGUUCUCGUGGCUGCUGACAAAAUCCCUAAACAGCGAGUCAGAAGGAAAGCGAGACGAGACUUUGAUACCAUGUCACACACCGACUUCUGUCCAAACCGCCGAGCAGCACGACAGAGAUUAAAACAGCUGACAGCAGCGUCUGCCGGUGGUUAAUAAAACAGAAUGUCAUGUACCAUGUAAAGAGUGGCAUGUACCAGUGUUAAGAGUGGAAUGUACCAGUGUUAAGAGUGGCAUGUACCACUGUUAAGAGUGUUAAGAGUGGAAUGUGCCAGUGGGCCGAGUGGAAUGUACCAGUGUAAAAAGUGGCAUGUACCAGUGUUAAGAGUGUUAAGAGUGGCAUGUGCCAGUGUUACGAGUGGCAUGUACCACUGUUAAGACUCGCAUGUGCCAGUGUUACGAGUGGCAUGUACCAGUGUUACGAGUGGCAUGUACCAGUGUUAAGAGUGGUAAAGAUGGCAUGUACCAAUGUUAAGAGUGGAAUGUACCAGUGUAAAGAGUGGAAUGUACCAGUGUAAAGAGUGGAAUGUGCCAGUGUAAAGAGUGGAAUGUGCCAGUGUUACGAGUGGAAUGUGCCAGUGUUACGAGUGGAAUGUGCCAGUGUUACGAGUGGAAUGUGCCAGUGUUACGAGUGGCAUGUACCAGUGUUACGAGUGGCAUGUACCAGUGUUAAGAGUGGAAUGUACCAGUGUAAAGAGUGGAAUGUACCAGUGUUAAGAGUGGAAUGUACCAGUGUUAAGAGUGGCAUGUGCCAGUGUUACGAGUGGAAUGUACCAGUGUAAAGAGUGGAAUGUACCAGUGUAAAGAGUGGAAUGUAC